GGUCACGGAUUAGCGCAAAGUCUUGUCAAGUGGGUGCAUUACCACGGAAUAAAAUGUAAAUCAUAAGAACACGUUGCGAUUGACUGCCCUAAUCCUCUGUCACUGAGACUGUUGGUUCAUAAAGUACAGUGGGGGGUCAAGCAGUGCUGUAGAAAUGGUACGAUCAACGCUAGACGACACGAGUGGGUGUGAUGACGUCAUAUCCGGAGGGGUAAACCAAGCCCUGACGAGGCAAACCAGUUUUGGACUCGUCUGACUCACAUUUACAAAGUGCCUCGCUAUUGAUACUCGUGUUACAACUAAAGAAGACCAGAAGAUGUCUACGGCAAAGGAGAUAGAAAACGAAAGUGCAUUUGUCGCACCUUCAGACGUUUCCAAGCGAAACUCCAGA